rnacentral:RNase_P_RNA from 1 species
GUAAGCCAGAUGGUCGCAUACUUUUAGUAUGAGGAAAGUCCGAGCUCCACAGAGCAGGGUGCUGGAUAACGUCCAGUGGAGGUGACUCUAAGGAAAGUGCAACAGAAAUAAACCGCCUAUUUAGGUAAGGAUGGAAAGGUAAGGUAAGAGCUUACCGCUUUCUUGGCGACAAGAAAGGCUCUGUAAACCCCACCUGGUGCAAGAACAUUGAAACAUAACGGUUGCUCGCCUGUUUCAUAAAAAGUUCGCAAGAGGCUGCUGGUAACAGUAGCACUAGAUAGAUGACCGUCAAAUACAGAACUCGGCUUACAGGCUUGCUUA